rnacentral:tRNA from 1 species
GGAGCUGUGGCUCAGAGGUAGAGCUUCUGCUUUGCAUGGAGAAGGUCCCAGGUUCAAUCCCUGGCAUCUUUG